rnacentral:rRNA from 1 species
CCUACGGGAGGCUGCAGUCGAGAAUCAUUCACAAUGGGGGAAACCCUGAUGGUGCGACGCCGCGUGGGGGAAUGAAGGUCUUCGGAUUGUAAACCCCUGUCAUGUGGGAGCAAAUUAAAAAGAUAGUACCACAAGAGGAAGAGACGGCUAACUCUGUGCCAGCAGCCGCGGUAAUACAGAGGUCUCAAGCGUUGUUCGGAAUCACUGGGCGUAAAGCGUGCGUAGGCUGUUUCGUAAGUCGUGUGUGAAAGGCGCGGGCUCAACCCGCGGACGGCACAUGAUCCUGCGAGACUAGAGUAAGGGAGGGGGAACCGGAAGUCUCGGUGUAGCAGUGAAAUGCGUAGAUAUCGAGAGGAACACUCGUGGCGAAGGCGGGUUCCUGGACAUUAACUGACGCUGAGGCACGAAGGCCAGGGGAGCGAAAGGGAUUAGAUACCCCAGUAGUC